UACGUAGGGUGCGAGCGUUAAUCGGAAUUACUGGGCGUAAAGCGUGCGCAGGCGGUUUUGCAAGCCGGAUGUGAAAUCCCCGGGCUCAACCUGGGAAUGGCAUUUGGGACUGCAAGGCUUGAGUGCGGCAGAGGAGACUGGGAUUCCUGGUGUAGCAGUGAAAUGCGUAGAUAUCAGGAGGAAUACCGAUGGCGAAGGCAGGUCUCUGGGCUGACACUGACGCUCAUGCACGAAAGCGUGGGGAGCAAACAGG
rnacentral:rRNA from 1 species